rnacentral:rRNA from 1 species
CGCGUAGGCGGCCUGCUAAGUCUGGAGUGAAAGUCCUGCUUUCAAGGUGGGAAUUGCUUUGGAUACUGGUGGGCUGGAGUGCAGGAGAGGAAAGCGGAAUUACCGGUGUAGCGGUGAAAUGCGUAGAGAUCGGUAGGAACACCAGUGGCGAAGGCGGCUUUCUGGGCACCAACUGACGCUGAGGCUCGAAAGUGUGGGUAGCAAACA